CCUACGGGUGGCAGCAGUGAGGAAUAUUGGUCAAUGGGCGAGAGCCUGAACCAGCCAAGUCGCGUGAAGGAUGACGGCCCUACGGGUUGUAAACUUCUUUUGUCAGGGAGCAAUUGAGUCCACGUGUGGUCUUAGCGAGAGUACCUGAAGAAAAAGCAUCGGCUAACUCCGUGCCAGCAGCCGCGGUAAUACGGAGGAUGCGAGCGUUAUCCGGAUUUAUUGGGUUUAAAGGGUGCGUAGGCGGGUUAUCAAGUCAGCGGUAAAAUCGUGGAGCUCAACUCCAUCCAGCCGUUGAAACUGAUGAUCUUGAGUGGGCGAGAAGUAUGCGGAAUGCGUGGUGUAGCGGUGAAAUGCAUAGAUAUCACGCAGAACUCCGAUUGCGAAGGCAGCAUACCGGCGCCCGACUGACGCUGAAGCACGAAAGCGUGGGUAUCGAACAGGAUUAGAUACCCUGGUAGUC
rnacentral:rRNA from 1 species